UACGUAGGGUGCAAGCGUUGUCCGGAAUUAUUGGGCGUAAAGAGCUCGUAGGCGGUCUGUCACGUCGGCUGUGAAACCCGAGGCUCAACCUCGGGCCUGCAGUCGAUACGGGCAGACUAGAGUUCGGUAGGGAGACUGGAAUUCCUGGUGUAGCGGUGAAAUGCGCAGAUAUCAGGAGGAACACCGGUGGCGAAGGCGGGUCUCUGGGCCGAAACUGACGCUGAGGAGCGAAAGCGUGGGGAGCGAACAGG
rnacentral:rRNA from 1 species